UACCAGCACCCCGAGUGGUCGGGACGAUUAUUGGGCCUAAAGCAUCCGUAGCCGGUCCUGCAAGUCUUCCGUUAAAUCCACCUGCUUAACAGAUGGGCUGCGGAAGAUACUAUAGGGCUAGGAGGCGGGAGAGGCAAGCGGUACUCGAGUGGGUAGGGGUAAAAUCCUCUGAUCCAUUGAAGACCACCAGUGGCGAAGGCGGCUUGCCAGAACGCGCUCGACGGUGAGGGAUGAAAGCUGGGGGAGCAACCGG
rnacentral:rRNA from 1 species